rnacentral:snRNA from 1 species
UUUCAUUUCUGAACAUAUACUAAAAUUGGAACAAUACAGAGACGAUUAGUUUGGCCCCUGCGCAAGGAUUAUACGCAAAUUCAUGAAGCGUUCCAGUGUUCU